GACGAACGCUGGCGGCGUGCUUAACACAUGCAAGUCGAACGGAAAGGCCCUGCUUUUGUGGGGUGCUCGAGUGGCGAACGGGUGAGUAACACGUGAGUAACCUGCCCUUGACUUUGGGAUAACUUCAGGAAACUGGGGCUAAUACCGGAUAGGAGCUCCUGCUGCAUGGUGGGGGUUGGAAAGUUUCGGCGGUUGGGGAUGGACUCGCGGCUUAUCAGCUUGUUGGUGGGGUAGUGGCUUACCAAGGCUUUGACGGGUAGCCGGCCUGAGAAGGUGACCGGCCACAUUGGGACUGAGAUACGGCCCAGACUCCUACGGGAGGCAGCAGUGGGGAAUAUGGCACAAUGGGCGGAAGCCUGAUGCAGCAACGCCGCGUGCGGGAUGACGGCCUUCGGGUUGUAAACCGCUUUCGCCUGUGACGAAGCGUGAGUGACGGUAAUGGGUAAAGAAGCACCGGCUAACUACGUG
rnacentral:rRNA from 1 species